rnacentral:lncRNA from 1 species
CCAAACCUCUCCUAUAUCCCAUAUGCUUGCCUGUUUCAAGAAUUAUUAUACAGAGAGGCUACUGAAUACUUUGAUUGCUAUUAAAGCCAAAGAUUUUUAAUAUUUCUCAAUUCCCUAAGUGAAAUGACUAAGAAAAAUAAAGGUUUCAGCUACCAAUCACAAAGUUUGCAUCAUUCAGUUUGGCUAGCAGUGGCAUCAGAAAAGAAAAUAAAACAGAA